rnacentral:lncRNA from 10 species
CUUCUCUUCUGUCUCACAACUGCCUUGCUCCUCCCAUCCUACACUGUUUUGCAUGUAACUACUGCCAAAAGACCUGGUUUUACUUAGCCAGUGAGAACAUAAAAGCAGAAGUUGGAAGAGCUUGCAUGUUUUCAUCAUGGAAAGUUAAUAAUCAGAGAUUUCAGUUCCAGCAUGCUGAGGAAGCACAGUUUUCCUUCUCAUCAAGCCACCAACUCUAUGACAAUGGCUCUCAUUUGGGGAUGAAGCAAAGCAGUUACUGAAAAUCAAAAGAAUGUUGAGAAGAGAAAAGUUGUCAUGGAAAGAGCUCUGACCCCUAAUUCAGCUGAGGCUACCAGAGAAGCAGAGUCCCUGCCUCUUUUUUUAUCAGGCCCUUAGCAACUCACUUAUGGUGAAUACUAGUGAUGUAGUUUGCUUGUACAUAAAUUUCCUACCAAAAUGUAUGAAUUUUAUACCAUUUGGCAUUCUUUGUUUCAAUGAAUAAAUCUCAAACUUUACUCUUUUAUUUUAUUUGUCUGAUUACAUGUCUAUGUCACCAAAUCUGUGAAAUCCUGUAAGGCAGAAAAAAAUGUCUUCACAUAUCUAUACUUUAAGAUACCAAUGCUCACCUGGCAUAUGGCAGGGCACAACACGUAUUUGAUGACUAAAUGAAAAUAAUAUAAAAUAUCACCUAGUUAUACACCAAUAAUCUGAGACAUAAUUAUCAUAUCUGAGAUCUGUGUGAUUUUUUUUGAGAUGGAGUUUUGCUCUGUUGCCCAGGCUGGAGUGCAAUGGCACAAUCUCAGCUCACUGCAACCUCUGCCUCCCAGGUUCAAGCAAUUCUCCUUUCUCAGCCUCCCAAGUAGCUGGGAUUACAGGUGCAUGUCACCAUGCCUUGCUAAUUUUUGUAUUUUUAGUAGAGAUGGGGUUUCACCAUGUUGGCCAGGCUGGUCUUCAACUCCUGACCUCAGGUGAUCUGUCUGCCUCGGCCUCCCCAAGUGCUGGGAUUAUCGGAUUGAGCCACUGUAUUAUACAUGUUGUUAUUUAUUAACACAACAUCACGUUUUAAUCUUACCACAGAACCUUAAUGAAACACGGAAGCUGUUUUAUUUCCAAUUCAAACAUGAGUUAAGUAAAACACAUAAAGUUAAUUGAGUUGGCAGAGUAAAAAAGAUAGUAAGUGACAUAAUUCAGAUUUGAACUUCAUUCAUGUUGAGCCUAAAUUCGGUGUUGUUUCAAUGUGACUGAGCUAUCAGCACCUCACUUAGAUUACAUUAAGGAGUCCAUUCAUUUUAACCAUGGCCAAUGAUUUACUUAGCAGAAUUUUAUAUAAAUAAUAUUACAGAGUUUGUGAAUGUAUAAUCCCAAUAAUUAUGCAGUUCUCAAUCUUCAGUAGCAUCUAACUGUACAUACUCUGAGAAAUUUCACAUUAUAUUUACUGCACUUAAAGUACAACUGGCUCCAUUUGUUUAUUAAUGCAGGAAAAGGUGCCUUUUUAUAGAUUUUUUAAAUAGAUUAAAAAAGUGCUAUUUUAGCUUUUUAAAGUUUUGAUGGAAACUUUUCUCUAAUUGCAAUCAGUAUUAAAAAUUUGUUCUGAGUUAUAAGAAUGAAUAUAGAAAUUCACCUAUUGAGUAUUGAUGCCAUGGCAAGAAAAUUUAUCCUAGUCUUUCCUCUUCUCGUUGGAUAUUGUUAAGAGGUCAAUACAAAAUUAUAUUUAAGAGGUAAUAAAAUCAAAGUAUAGAGAGUUGAGUUGACUUAUACAUAUAUGUGUGUGUGUGAAUCGGCCUUCUUAAAAUUUCUAUGUCACAAAUCUAAAAGUGUCCUCUAAACCCUGCCUUAUAAAUAAUUAUAUGAUGACAAUUGUAUAAAGUUUAAGUUGAAUGCUAUCAGACGUCAAAGAGAAGUGGUUCUCCAGGAAAAAAUAAUAAGAAAACAAUUAUCAAAAAAGUAUCUUGACUUCUGGAUGUAAGCACUGUAACUGAAUUUUACAAUCUGAGUUGAUACAGACAUCAGUCUUUAUUGAGUUGUGAUUUUCACUUCAGACAAUAAAAAUGUAUUACCUUUUCUAUAAUUUUUACCCAGGGUAAUCUUGCUUUAAAUGUGUUUCUUAGUUGCCAAGGCAACCAGCAUUCCUUAUCUUGCCAUUUACACUUAUUUUGAACACUUAUUGUAGUUUUUUGGUCCUUUUUCUUUAAACAAUGGCCUAACAAAUACAUGCAAUAUCUGCAAAAGUUAUUAAAAAUGAUAAUUUCAAAAAUUAUUCUGA